rnacentral:misc_RNA from 1 species
AUCUAAAACGAGCACAAGAGCAAGGGAAUAAGGACAAGUGAAAACGACGAGGCGUUUUCCUUGGAAAAUACUAAAAAAUUACAAAAGCUUUCAUUGAUUUUGGGAGAAAUUUUGUCGCAUGUGCGACCUGCCUGCGUCGCGUGGAAUGCAUAGGUCCCUAAUAUCAGAGGCGGCAGGGAACUCCAGUCGUAGUUUAUGAAUUGCUUGCCCCUUCCCUUCUUAUAUUUAA